rnacentral:rRNA from 1 species
UACGUAGGGUCCAAGCGUUGUCCGGAUUUAUUGGGCGUAAAGAGCUCGUAGGCGGCUUGUCGCGUCGACGGUGAAAGCCCGGGGCUCAACCCCGGGUCGGCCGUCGAUACUCUCGUGCUUGAGCACUGUAGAGGCAGGUGGAAUUCCGGGUGUAGCGGUGGAAUGCGUAGAGAUCCGGAAGAACACCGGUGGCGAAGGCGGCCUGCUGGGCAGUCGCUGACACUGAGGCGCGACAGCGUGGGGAGCAAACAGG